AUCUGCUAAAAAAACUUAAGUUUUAUAGUAAAGAACUUGCGAAAAAAAAGAUGAAAUCUCAUGAUUGAGAAUAAUAUCUGAAUUUUAAUGCAAUAAAUCAAAAUAAAACACUGUUUUAUUGUACCUUUUGUAUAAUGGAUUAGCAAGUAAAUAUUAUAAGCAAGCGCAAGCAAAAUGAAAAUAUAUAGUUUAUAAUAUUUGACCCGAAAACUAAACGAUCUAAUAAUGAACAAGCAUUAGGCUGAACUCGUAAAUGUUGCAAAAUUUUGAGAUGAUUUGUUAUUAGGGGUGAAAGGCUUAUCAAGUUUAGUUAUAGCUGGUUCUCCACGAAAUCUAUUUAAGUAGAGCAAAAUAAUAUGUAUAUAAUAGGUAAUGAGAUAACGAAAGUUAAUUUAUCAAUUAUUAUGUAUAUAUAUAUUUAGUCAGACAUUUAGUGCCAAGAUUAAGUGUCAAGAGGGAACAGCCCAGAGUGUUAAUUAAAAUAAUAAAAAAAUAAGUACUAAUUUUUAAGUAAAAAUUAACCAAAAAACAAAAGUAAAAGAAGAAUAAGG
rnacentral:rRNA from 1 species